CAGUCGCCGCGGUAAUACGAGGGGGGCAAGCGUUGUUCGGAAUUAUUGGGCGUAAAGGGCGCGUAGGCGGUUUGGCAAGUUUGGUGUGAAAUCUUCGGGCUCAACUCGAAGUCUGCACCGAAAACUGCCGGGCUUGAGUAUGGGAGAGGUGAGUGGAAUUUCCGGUGUAGCGGUGAAAUGCGUAGAUAUCGGAAGGAACACCUGUGGCGAAAGCGGCUCACUGGACCAUAACUGACGCUGAGGCGCGAAAGCUAGGGGAGCAAACAGGAUUAGAUACCCGCGUAGUCCCUGUCUCUUAUAC
rnacentral:rRNA from 1 species